UACGAAGGAUUCGAGCGUUGUCCGGAUUUAUUGGGUUUAAAGGGUGCGUAGGUGGACUAAUAAGUCAGUGGUGAAAGCCCGGAGCUCAACUCCGGAACUGCCAUUGAUACUGUUAGUCUUGAGUACAGUUGAGGUGGGCGGAAUGUGUCAUGUAGCGGUGAAAUGCUUAGAUAUGACACAGAACACCGAUGGCGAAGGCAGCUCACUAAGCUGUAACUGACACUGAGGCACGAAAGCGUGGGGAGCAAACAGG
rnacentral:rRNA from 1 species